UACCUCUACAUUAAUUUAAAGGGGACUUGUUUCUUGAGUAGUCUUUAGAAAUAAAUUAUUCCUGUAAUUUCUUUAUUUUAGAACAAUAUUAUAUUUAGCUGAAAGUUUUUCUUUUUUAAGGAAAAAUCUGUAAUCAUACAAUGUACAAAAUGUAUUUAGAUUGUAAAUUUAUUUCACUGUUGGUAGUAGCCUGGUGUUGAGUAAAUGUGAUAUUAUAUUUAUCAGUGAAAACACUGUAAACUCAGAAAUAUUUUGAUGUCUUUAUUAAUGCGAAAAUGUGACAGUACCAGGUUUAGCAAUAAUAAAAAGCUUGCAUUCAUUAUUUCAGCAACUUUUUCCCUUAUAAAAUUUUUGCAAUUGCAAUUAUUAGAAUUCAAAUAUUGUUUUAGAGGUCAAGGAUUCAAACUAAUAAACACAUGCAUUAUUUUCUGAAUUUACAAGUCACAUUUUGCAAGAGUGCAUGAAAUGUAAAAUGAUUUAGGUUCAAAAAGUCAAUCCAUGCUGCUCUUGAAAUUGGUUUAAAUCAGAAAAAAAACAUUGCAGUUUACAAUUAUAGUUAAUAUUUGUUGCCUUUUCUUAAGAUGAACAAGAAGAUACUACUAAAUCUAAUAACAUGAUCACGAUAGCCAUCAUGAAAUACAUGUAUAGCAUUUAAUGAAGGAUACAAAAAUCUCCCUUCAGUGGACCACAUAUUAGUAGUUUCUAGCUGGAUUAUUAGAUUGUAAGAGUUCAGGGUUAUUUUAGUAUGUAUGGACCAAACUGUAUUUGGAUAGAUUUGUAUAUUUUUUUAUGACCAGUAGCAAUUUUUUUCAACAGCUUGUGGUGUGGGAGAGUGCAGGAAUAUAUUUAUUUUCAAUAAAAGAAAGAAAAAAAACUUAUCUGCAUAUAAUAUUUGUUAACAAAUGUAAAACAUGUAUUAAAGAUAUGAGUUAUACAUAAAUGAGACAG
rnacentral:lncRNA from 1 species